GCCAGGCAUGGGGGUGUUUGUCUGGAAUCCCAGUGGCUUGGGAGGCUGAGGCAGGAGGAUCCCAAGUUCAAAGCCAGCCUCAGCAACUUAGUGAGGCCCUAAGCAACUCAGGGAGACCCUGUCUCUA
rnacentral:sRNA from 1 species